rnacentral:rRNA from 1 species
UUGACCUCGGAUCAGGUAGGGAUACCCGCUGAACUUAAGCAUAUAU